CGAAAGCGUGGGGAGCGAACGGGAUUAGAUACCCCGGUAGUCCACGCCGUAAACGAUGCACACUAGGUCGGGGAGGUUUUCACGCCGUCCCGGCCGAAGGAAAACUAUUAAGUGUGCCGCCUGGGGAGUACGGUCGCAAGGCUAAAACUCAAAGGAAUUGACGGGGGCUCACACAAGCGGUGGAGCAUGUUGCUUAAUUCGAGGCAACGCGAAGAACCUUA
rnacentral:rRNA from 1 species